GCUUCCGGGUCGCCUCGGCUGCUGGUUAACGGUACAGACAAGACGUUCCCGGUUACAGCGCUCGUGAUCAGCGCGUCAAUCAAACCUGGCCGUAAUCGGCAGCUUUGCCUCCGUCCUCUUCCUCAGUGGGAUUUCUCUGGUGGCCGGAUCGGUCUGUGUGGGGCCUGGUGAUCUGGGGAAUUCCAGCGGCGUUAACUUGGGAGAAACAACACAGCUUUGACACGUUCCAGCUGCAGCUUUUUGAUAGCUCACGGCAGUCGGACGCCUGAGCUGUGGCUCCACCUCGGUUCCAACUGUUGUUUAACCACGGCGGUGCGGUCUGAGACGCCUUAAUCAGCCGGUAUCGUGGCUGGUUAAACUUGGAGCCCGCCUGCAGCAGAAAUUGCCCUCUUCCAGCAGCAUAGGCUGGGCUGGAUUAUUCAAAGGGCUGUUUAUGUGACAACUGUUCAACCUCUGUUACUGGACUGGUUCUUGAUUGUUAUUAUUCCCGGUAUUAUUUUUCUUAUCCUGAGUUUAUUCAGUUAUCUGGGUUGCCUGAGUCCAUGGGGAAUUGCAU